GCCUUUGUGGUGUAAUUGAAAGCAUACUCAACCCGUAAUUGUGAAAUCCAGGUUAGAGUCCCAGCAAGGGCA
rnacentral:tRNA from 1 species